GUGCUCACUUUGGCAGCACAUAUACUAAAAUCAGAGCGAUACAGGGAAGAUUAGCAUGGCCUCUGCAUAAGGAUGACAUGAAAAUUCAUGAAGCUUCCAUAUUUUUU
ensembl:snRNA U6 U6 spliceosomal RNA